UUCCGCAUGGACGAAAGUCUGACGGAGCACGCCGCGUGAGUGAUGAAGGUUUUCGGAUCGUAAAACUCUGUUGUUAGGGAAGAACAAGUAUCGUUCGAAUAGGGCGGUACCUUGACGGUACCUAACCAGAAAGCCACGGCUAACUACGUGCCAGCAGCCGCGGUAAUACGUAGGUGGCAAGCGUUGUCCGGAAUUAUUGGGCGUAAAGCGCGCGCAGGCGGUUUCUUAAGUCUGAUGUGAAAUCUUGCGGCUCAACCGCAAGCGGCCAUUGGAAACUGGGAGACUUGAGUGCAGAAGAGGAGAGUGGAAUUCCACGUGUAGCGGUGAAAUGCGUAGAGAUGUGGAGGAACACCAGUGGCGAAGGCGACUCUCUGGUCUGUAACUGACGCUGAGGCGCGAAAGCGUGGGGAGCGAACAGGAUUAGAUACCCUGGUAGUCCACGCCGUAAACGAUGAGUGCUAAGUGUUAGAGGGUUUCCGCCCUUUAGUGCUGCAGCUAACGCAUUAAGCACUCCGCCUGGGGAGUACGGCCGCAAGGCUGAAACUCAAAGGAAUUGACGGGGGCCCGCACAAGCGGUGGAGCAUGUGGUUUAAUUCGAAGCAACGCGAAGAACCUUACCAGGUCUUGACAUCCUCUUGACCUCCCUAGAGAUAGGGAUUUCCCUUC
rnacentral:rRNA from 2 species